CAGGAUGGACCCGCGUCUGAUUAGCUAGUUGGUAAGGUAACGGCUUACCAAGGCGACGAUCAGUAGCCGACCUGAGAGGGUGAUCGGCCACAUUGGAACUGAGACACGGUCCAAACUCCUACGGGAGGCAGCAGUGGGGAAUAUUGCACAAUGGGCGAAAGCCUGAUGCAGCAACGCCGCGUGAGUGAUGAAGGCCUUCGGGUCGUAAAACUCUGUCCUCAAGGAAGAUAAUGACGGUACUUGAGGAGGAAGCCCCGGCUAACUACGUGCCAGCAGCCGCGGUAAUACGUAGGGGGCUAGCGUUAUCCGGAUUUACUGGGCGUAAAGGGUGCGUAGGCGGUCUUUCAAGUCAGGAGUGAAAGGCUACGGCUCAACCGUAGUAAGCUCUUGAAACUGGGAGACUUGAGUGCAGGAGAGGAGAGUGGAAUUCCUAGUGUAGCGGUGAAAUGCGUAGAUAUUAGGAGGAACACCAGUUGCGAAGGCGGCUCUCUGGACUGUAACUGACGCUGAGGCACGAAAGCGUGGGGAGCAAACAGGAUUAGAUACCCUGGUAGUCCACGCUGUAAACGAUGAGUACUAGGUGUCGGGGGUUACCCCCCUCGGUGCCGCAGCUAACGCAUUAAGUACUCCGCCUGGGA
rnacentral:rRNA from 1 species